AAAAAAAAAAAAAUCUAAAAGAUGUAUAAUUUAUAAUAUUAUAAAGAAAGAAUACUUAGUAUUUUAUAUAUUUAGUAGGUCUGGUCAAAAAAUAUCGAGCAUUUAUUCAUGGAACUAUCCUCGGUUAGAUUGCUAAAAUUUCAAAUAGCCGUGCCCAACUAUUUACAGCCUUAAAGGUUAAGUACUUGCUAUGGACGUACUCGACUGAUUCGAAACGAUUUGAAAACUAUGGAUGUAUGAGUGCGCAUCAUACCAUUCAGUCGACAGAAAUUUUUAAAUUUUAUGAAUUUCAGAAAACCGUGAGAAACCCUUGCUCGACAAGUGGCGCGACUAAGCAUUCCUAUGUAGCCGGGAAGUUGUUUAAAGAUUAAUUCUUCCCCAAUUCUUUUCGCUUUACACCUACACGCAUUUUAAAGACUCUCUUCAAGUUAUUGGGGACUUCGAAUAUGUUAAUGAGAAUGCCGACAAAUUAAACGUAAAUAUAUUCCCCUUCUUUGUCAGUGGGUCAGCCAGCCAACAGUAAAAAAGCUUCAAUGUGACCACGAAGUCAUAUAACUAUAAACAUUUUGCAGGAAGUGAUCUGCCACAAUUUUGAACUAUUUUCGCAUUUAGGCAAAUAUAUUCUGCGGCCUGUUCAUGUCUGUCGAUAUCGAGUAAACUCGAUCGUAAUUUGCACAUAUUGCCGGACAGUAUUUUUACCAUCGAAAAAUGUUUCAUUCGAUAGUAAAGAAAAUUGUAUUCAUUAUCGAUAGCUGCCAAUUCUUUAUAGUGAGUCCAUAACCGAUAGCUAUCGAGUUAGCUCGAAUGUCGUGAACAUUGACCCAACAACCCUUUCCGGCGUCAUAUUCUAAUGGCAAUGACCUUGAGGGCAAGACGACUGUGCUUUACGAAGCUAAAUAGUAAAGACAUUACGGUAAAGUUUAGGCAUUCGUACAUAUCGGCCUGACAGCUACUGGCCUGAGAUGAAAGUAGAAAAAUUUAUUUUCAAGAGAUAGUAAGGUGAACAAAUUUAAUGCAUCAUGCAUCACCGUGGACACAGGAUUCCAUCAUACUAACUAAAAAAUUGAAAUUCAAUCUACAAUUUUUUAUAUCGAAAAUGAGGAAAACCCAUAAUUACAUUUAGCGUAGAGUAGGCGCCGCCUUGGAGAUUUCCAAGCCUUUCCCUUAUGAAAAAUUUGUCUUAAAUAAAAUGUAGAUGAUGGUGUAAAAAAUAUUGAGCCUUAUAUCUACGAUGAGUCAAGUAGGGCAGAGACAUGAUUUUGCUAAAGCAAUUACUUUUCGGAAAACGUCAGAGUUGGGCAUAGAAAUUAUUAAUAUUUUGCAUAUAAAGCAAAAUGCAAUAAAUCUCGAUACUUUUUCGUUCGAAUGCGUAUAGAUUUUAAACUUCAAAUUCAAUUUUUGAAAAUUCAAAUUCAGUUUUUUACAUAUUAAAUAAUUUUUAAUUAAAUUCAGAUAAAUAUAUGCUUGGGACUUUGUUUAAAACAAAAAUCAACUUGGGUCUGCACCGAUUCCACACUGGUUUUUCACAAGAUUUUAAUGUACUUUUCUAUGAAGAACACACGAUCCAGGAAAAAAGAUAUAUCUUUUAUUCGUUCAAAAUAAAAAUAUAAGUUGUCAUCAACUUACGUCUACGCAAAAAUUUUAUCUUACCAUUACGGAUCAAGGAUCAACUGCGUCUAAAAAAAAAAUUCGCAUAAAGAAAGGACUCAGCGUGAAGGCUAGACAUUGGGGUAUCCGACUUCCAAAGACAUUUGGGAUGCUCUAAUCUUUUCGGCUAAAGUGAAUUUUUUUUCGGAAGAGGCGAACAGCUCUUUCCGAAACAUCGAUCCCUUUAGGGUUCUCGUUAUCGAUCUAGCUAACAUAACGACGAAACACAGAAACGAUGCUGUCCUUUCCUGUUUUGAAGGUACUUGGAUAUUUCAUUCGAUGCAUAUGUUGAAGAAAUUAUUCUUGACAUCAUCGGUGUAUGUAAAGGGUCUCCUAAUUUUUACUCGAAAUUUAAAUUAAAUAGAAAGCAGAGUCAUUUGUUUAUCUAAUAAUAACGUACGUGCGAUAGGGUUAUGUAUAGAAUAGCACGUCGGGCAAAAUGGUGUCCACGACUUUGCUGGCACGUACAUGCACUCUCCUAUCGAAGUUUUCAAUGAGCAUUUUGCAUAGUCGAUGCACUGUUGACCCCGCCUUCUUCAAUUCACGGGUGAUUGUAGGGUUUUUUCUCUUCCUUCAAUUCAUGGAUGGUUGUGGGCUUUCUGGCAUACACCUUUGACUUCGAAUGAUCCCAUAAAAAGUAAUCCAUUGGUAUUAAAUCACGUGAUCUGGUGGCUCUACUCUCGUCGCCGAAACGAGAGGGUACAUAUCCAAUUCAGCCCAAAAUUCGCACCAAACUCUUGUGGAUGUACUUGUUUUUCGACAAUCACUUGUGGAUUAUCUGAACCUCAAAUUAACGAACGGCAAUAUAACGAUUAACGAAGCCAUCAACGUGACCGUAUAUUGUGCGCGAUUUGCGGUCGCCAAACUUUCAUUAUUUUCCACGUAUUGCUCAACAAUGGGAACGUGUUGCUCUCUUGCGCAAUGCAACACUCAACACUUUUCCUUUUCGUUUGCCAACACUUUACUGUGCAAACGACGGCAGGUUCAAAUCUUGCACAGGUUUUGGGAUAUCCUAAAUAACAGAAUUAUGAGAACCAUCAGAUCGAAAUUGAAGAUUACACGUUCGAGUUAGCUUCAUAACGACAGCCUUAAACCGGUUUCAAUUUUUUUCGAAAUCAUCGCGUCCUGGAACGUCUGUACAAUAUUACGAUUAUUUGAAAUGUUAAUCUUUAAAUGCGUAUUGUUGCCCAUUGUCUAUAUUCCAGUAAAAAUUAAUUUUAAAAUUAAAUGGAAUUGAAGUGUAGACAAUUGGCAACAAUGUGCAUUUGAGGCUUAAACAUUUCUUCCUCGAAGCACGAUCUUUUGAAACCCCAAACAGUCUAAUUCCAACAAGUUUCAUUCAAAUUUUUUACAAUACAUUUAAAAAAAAACCUUUUCACAUAAAUGAUUUUAAGCCUGCAUUGGACAGACAGCAUAACAUAAAGUAGACGCUAUUAAAUUUUAUAUAUAUGAUGUACACAAAUAGCAUCGUUUCAGCUAUUAUUGCCUGUCUGUCCGUUCUCUUUUUUAUACACAACGUCUGCCCUUAUUAUACUACUGUGGGCGAAUCCCUAUAUCGUCGGGAAAAUUUUUGGUGUACUCGAAGAGUAAAAUGUAAAUGACUUGAAGCGAUGUAAAGAGGAAGCUCCAUAUUGUUUGCAAAAAAAAACUGCAAAAAAGUGGUAAUAGGUGCUGAUUUUUGACCUAAACCUUGCGAGCAUUAUAAAAUAAAUGGGAGAUAGAUUUGGAUAAAGUUGGUUGUUGAUGAUGGCGUUUUCAGUGGGAGCUGUUCUGACAUUUCUAAAUUGCCUUAAGGUUCGUCAAGGUUGUGCAUUCCUUACCGGGUUUUGAUCCUCGUUGCAUAGAAGUCAUUAGUAAAGCAUUAAUGUAAUAAUUUGCAAAAGGAUCUUUGCUGACUAUGGCAAACUUGAGGCACUCUUUUCUGCCUUAAUACGAAGCUUUAGCUCGUUAAAAGCCGUCCUCUGUUCAAAUUCUCUCUCAACUUUGUAAUGGUACUUAAGAAGUCCCGUUACACUGUAUGGCCUGUAUGGAUAUUAGACUUUUCUGAUUAUUGCUUCUGGAGAACAACUACAGCAAGUCGCGCAAACGCAUUUCAUUUUAAUUGAUAAUGAUACAUAUAUUAGGCAAUUGUUAAAGAGUGGACGCCCUCGAAUAUUACACGACAGAAUAUCGUGCAUCCUCGACGACUUCCACAAUUUUUUGGUAAUAUAUACCUCGAGAAUUUUUUUUUAGAAAAGUCUUAGUAUAAAUGAAUAUACGUAUCACGUGUACUUAUACACACACACAUAUUAAACACUCUAGAAAAUGUUGAGUUUCAUAAAACUGGAUAUAGAAGCAUCUUAAUGGAUAAUUAAUUCAGUGUGCACUCAACUUUCUUUUGACACGAUAGAUACGUUUCUUAGAAAACCUUGCAAAAAAAAAA